rnacentral:rRNA from 1 species
AACGAACGCUGGCGGCAGGCUUAACACAUGCAAGUCGAACGCCCCGCAAGGGGAGUGGCAGACGGGUGAGUAACGCGUGGGAACGUACCCUUUACUACGGAAUAACUCAGGGAAACUUGUGCUAAUACCGUAUGUGCCCUUCGGGGGAAAGAUUUAUCGGUAAAGGAUCGGCCCGCGUUGGAUUAGCUAGUUGGUGGGGUAAAGGCCUACCAAGGCGACGAUCCAUAGCUGGUCUGAGAGGAUGAUCAGCCACAUUGGGACUGAGACACGGCCCAAACUCCUACGGGAGGCAGCAGUGGGGAAUAUUGGACAAUGGGCGCAAGCCUGAUCCAGCCAUGCCGCGUGAGUGAUGAAGGCCCUAGGGUUGUAAAGCUCUUUCACCGGUGAAGAUAAUGACGGUAACCGGAGAAGAAGCCCCGGCUAACUUCGUGCCAGCAGCCGCAGUAACAC